GGGGUCGUGGCUCAGUGGUAGGGCACAUGCCUAGCAUGUGUGAGGCACUGGGUUCGAUUCUCAGGACCACA
rnacentral:tRNA from 1 species